UACGUAGGGUGCAGGCGUUAAUCGGAAUUACUGGGCGUAAAGCGUGCGCAGGCGGUUUCUUAAGUCAAAUGUGAAAGCCCCGGGCUUAACCUGGGAACUGCGUUUGAAACUGGGAGACUUGAGUGUGGCAGAGGGGGGUGGAAUUCCACGUGUAGCAGUGAAAUGCGUAGAUAUGUGGAGGAACACCGAUGGCGAAGGCAGCCCCCUGGGUCAACACUGACGCUCAUGCACGAAAGCGUGGGGAGCAAACAGG
rnacentral:rRNA from 1 species